rnacentral:rRNA from 1 species
AUGGCUAGGAUUAACUAUGGUGUCAUAUCUUUGAUCACCAAAGUAGUUGGGACGGAUAUUCCCCACUUCCGCCCCAUCACGGUGAUCAAUGUGUUGGAGCGAAUCUUUGCGAAGGUUUGCGCAACUCGCUUAUCCCCGGUGGCGGAAAGGAUUGCUCACCCCCUUCAGUAUGCAUUCCUGAAGGGCCGGCGGAUCCAUGACGGGAUUCUUGCCCUUCACGAGAUCGUCCACGAGGUGGUGUCGAAGGGGCUUAAGGGGGUCUUCCUCAAAUUGGACUUCCAGAAGGCGUAUGACCAUCUGGACUGGUCCUUUUUGAGGUUGGUGAUGGAGCAUUGA